CUGCUCAAGGAACAUUGGUCUUCAAACUCAAUUAGUGACAAAGAUGCUGUCAAAGUUGUCCUUUGCUCUGUGUAGCAGAUGACUGACUAUGGGACUUUUUCCUUUCAGGAAGGAAACGGCAACAUGAAUUCGUAGAUGAUGAGUAGGAUGCCAAAGCCAGAGAUGACAGUGCUCUUGAAGAAAUGCUGGGUAGAACAAAAAGAUGAUCAUGGGAACAGCAAUGGCAGUCAUGUAAAAAUCUUUUUACCGAAGAAGCUGCUCGAAUGUCUACCAAAAUGUUCAAGUUUACCCAAGGAGAGGCACCGCUGGAACACUAAUGAGAGAUCUUGAUGCAGACGUCCUUUUGGAUUUCUUUUUAAUAAUGUGUGACCCUUCACCUUUGACCCCCUGACCUGCAUUACUUUGGUAACCAUUUCAUUUUUUUAUUUCAUUUCAUUUUUAAUUUUGCUGUGCAAGCUGUAACAUUUCAUCGUGUUAAACUGCAGUGUUCUUUGACUUCCCCAGGUGUAUCUUUUCUGCUGUGAAGGUGUGCUGGUGGCUUUUCUCAAAUAAAAACGAUUUUGGUUGUUGUAAGAAGAAAUAAAGUUUGUGCUCCUCAUUGGCUUUUGCUUUUUAAGUUCAACGCUGUGCAUUUCCCUGUAUCCCAGCACAUCGCUUCUGCCUUGUGUUCUCCCAAGACUUUAUCUGAUUUAUGUUGUCAUUUCUGUACAUCGUUGCUUUGAACUUGCAUUUCUCUACGUUUCUUUUGGUCAGUAAUACAUACGUGAUGUUUGCUGUGGUUUUUCUCUUUGCUGGUCAGCUUUUGGUAGCUCACAGCAAUCACAGGGGAUUUAAGAUUCUCUUCUGAAUAAAAAAUAUUUGUCGUUGUUACAGUUCUGUUCCAUGUCCUGGAGAUGACUGUUCGUAAUGCUCAGCUGAAAACCAAUAGCUGUUCUAAUAAAGGCAUUUGAGAC
rnacentral:lncRNA from 1 species